AAAUAGAACUUUGCAGAGAGAGUUAACAGGGCGUGAAACCGUUAAUUGGCAAACGAAUCGGAGCCACGAAGUCGUUUCGCAGUUGAGUCGGGCGUCAGUUCAGCGUGCCUCGAAAGGGGUGUGUGUAUUCUGGCGCCGGCCGGCUUUGUAAGCGUACACUGCAACCAGUUAGACGACUGGCCAUGGGCACAGUCGUGCGACUCAGUAGUAGUGCGGCUGGAUUUCGGUCUUGUCGUGUUGCUUGGGGCGCGCGAGUGAACCAUGGCCAGAUACUGACUGGCGAAAUGAAAAUCGACGAAAGUCGUUAGAGACAAGGCUGCCGUCAUCAUGGGUGUCUACGCCAGCGACUGCAGGGCUUAAGCUCGGCGCUCUUCAAUUUGGACUUGCUUGCUACCAGUGGGGCAACUCCUGGUGCUUGUAUAGCUUCCAUCUAAUGGGGCGUUGACUUGGUCCUGUACGCUCGCGGGCGCAUCGGUCGGGCGCACAUGGAAGGCGGUAAGCAAUUGAAUUGGCAGUGAGUAGGUCGGCUUUCCGAACGACCCGUCUUGAAACACGGACCAAGGAGUCUAAUUGGGCAUCGAGUCGAUCGGUCUUGAAUAGGCCAGACUGGGGGGCCUCCCCCGAGCGAAGGCGCAGAGAAAUCGUGUGAUCGCAGGCCAACAACAGGCCGGCCGCGCAACAUGUGCGUGCUCGAUCGCUAUGUGCAAGAUAGUGGGGCGCAGCAAAGAGAUGCCCGAUUGGGACCCGAAAGAUGGUGAGCUUGGGCAAAUUGAAGCCAGAGGAAACUCUGGUGGAGGAUUGUAGCGAUUCUGACGUGCAAAUCGAUCGUCAGACCUGAGUAUAGGGGCGAAAGACUAAUCGAACCAUC
rnacentral:rRNA from 1 species